rnacentral:rRNA from 1 species
UACGUAGGCAGCAAGCGUUGUUCGGAGUUACUGGGCGUAAAGGGUGCGUAGGCGGCUUUUUAAGUUUGGUGUGAAAUCUCCCGGCUCAACUGGGAGGGUGCGCCGAAUACUGAGAAGCUAGAGUGUGGGAGAGGAAAGUGGAAUUCCUGGUGUAGCGGUGAAAUGCGUAGAUAUCAGGAGGUACACCGGUGGUGUAAACGGCUUUCUGGACCAUAACUGACGCUGAGGCACGAAAGCGUGGGUAGCAAACAGG